rnacentral:rRNA from 1 species
AUUGAACGCUGGCGGCAGGCCUAACACAUGCAAGUCGAGCGAAGUGGCGAACGGAUGAGUAACACGUGGGUGACCUGCCCUGCACUUCGGGAUAAGCCUGGGAAACUGGGUCUAAUAACGGAUAGUGUGGGAUGGGCCCGCGGCCUAUCAGCUUGUUGGUGGGGUAAUGGCCUACCAAGGCGGCGACUGGUAGCCGGCCUGAGAGGGUGGAGGGCCACAUUGUGACUGAGACACGGCCCAGACGCAUACGGGAGGCAGCAGUGGGGAAUAUUGCAAAAUGGGCGGAAGCCUGAUGCAGCGACGCCGCGUGGGGGAUGACGGCUUUCGGGUUGUAAACUCCUUUCACCAUCGACGCGGUAGAUGGAGAAGAAGCACCGGCUAACUACGUGCCAGCAGCCGCGGUAAUAC